GACGAACGCUGGCGGCGUGCUUAACACAUGCAAGUCGAACGGAAAGGCCCUGCUUUUGUGGGGUGCUCGAGUGGCGAACGGGUGAGUAACACGUGAGUAACCUGCCCUUGACUUUGGGAUAACUUCAGGGAACUGGGGCUAAUACCGGAUAGGAGCUCCUGCUGCAUGGUGGGGGUUGGAAAGUUUCGGCGGUUGGGGAUGGACUCGCGGCUUAUCAGCUUGUUGGUGGGGUAGUGGCUUACCAAGGCUUUGACGGGUAGCCGGCCUGAGAGGGUGACCGGCCACAUUGGGACUGAGAUACGGCCCAGACUCCUACGGGAGGCAGCAGUGGGGAAUAUUGCACAAUGGGCGGAAGCCUGAUGCAGCAACGCCGCGUGCGGGAUGACGGCCUUCGGGUUGUAAACCGCUUUCACCUGUGACGAAGCGUGAGUGACGGUAAUGGGUAAAGAAGCACCGGCUAACUACGUG
rnacentral:rRNA from 1 species